CCGGGUCCUGCACUUUCAGCACCUCCCUCGUCGCCUCCCGCGACGAGAUCACCACCGCGGGGACCUCCCCCAGCUGCAGAUGCAUCACGGGGCCGUGUUUCUGCGCUUGCCGCUGCAAUGCCUUGUGGGGCAGAUCUCCGACUAGGAGGUGGAUGUGGCCGAUCACCGGCAGCUUCGGCGGGCUCGGGGGCAGGUUUUGGUGGGCUUUGGGGGAUUUAGGUUUGGUCCAUGCCUUGAGCAGGAAGAAGAUGAAGGAUGAAAGGAGCAGGAGAGUAGUGGUGAAGUUGAAGGGGAGAUCCAUCUCCAUUAAUUGUUGAUCAAAUAUUAUACUAUGAUGAUGAGUAGGUGUUUGAUGAAUUGCAUGUAGUGAUUGGUAUUUAUAGUGAAGAAUAUUUGUAGCUGCAGUGUAUGAGUUUAGUCUCAGGAGUUUAAUUUCAAGGUCGGGGGCUGGAAAGUGGCGCAGACAUCUGAUUAAUUAUUCUUUUUGAAUUUAAUAUGGUUUUUUUUUAGCAUUUGGUGCCGCCAAAUAUUACUGUCUUGUGAUAGUGCAUGUAUUUUUCUUGAUCGGUGGCUUGUAGUAGCGCAAUCUGUGUUUGUUUUUUGUAUAUUUAAUUACUCUUUGUUCCAUGGGAUAUAUAUAUGUACAAACAUUAAUUGUAUUACUCUUUCUAUUAUAUAUAUGACCGUUGUAGUUUUUUGAACUAUACUCUGACUUUACUAUAUUUUAUAUUUUUUCCUUCAUCAAUUUAAGAUUUUAUAAUAAAGUAUCGGGUGUAGUGUACUUUUUUUGUUAUAUUGAUUAUACUUUUUUUAAUUAUAUAUUGAUUAUGCUUUUAAAUCCAAGAGAUAAGUUAGAUUUGAAGGUUCAUUACGUUAAUAUUAAGCUUAAGUUGUGUCAAAAAAAAAAAAACUUAAAUGUAAGCACUCGUAUUUAAUUUAUUGUAAUUUUUUUAGAAUUAAUUUAUUGUAAAUUUAGUCUCACUCUUUCUAAUCCUUAUCAAACUGAGUUAAAGUUUACUCCUCCCGUCCCGCAAAGCUUGAACAAUUUCUUUUUGUCAUAAAUUUUAAGAAGUUAGUAUUUUGUGUAUUAAGUGUGGUAGGUGAAAAGUGAAAAUGUGAAUAAAGGAAAAAAUUUUACCAUAUAAGAAAACUGCUCAAACUUUGCGGGAUAACCCGAAAAUGAAUACUGCUCAAGCUUCGCGGGACGGAGGGAGUAUAAGUUUCUUUCUUUUCCUCUAUCAAAAUUAAUUUUAAGUUUACAAUAAGCAAAAGGUUGUAAUUAAUGUAAAUCUAUAGUGUCAUUGUUGGCUAUUCAUACUCUGCAUGAUUUCCAUCGUGGUUCUGAUUUUCUUUGUGAUGAUCUUUGGGAAGCUUUCUCCCAUACUCUGCCUCGAUUCACUGGUGCCCUAACCGCCCACCAAUAGAAGUUCAAGUCGGUUCAACUCCCCAAGAAGAUUUCACGCGGGCUGUCGACUCUCAAUCAUUGGAAUCUGAAUAUCGAGUGCCGGAAACUGUUGAAGUUUUCUCGAGAAUCGAAGAGACGCGCUCCGAUAACAGGGUGGUAGCCACGCCCUUUGGAAACAACUAUAGACCUGAGUCAGGCCCAGAACUUUUAAGCCCAAAUCAUUCAAGAGAAGUGGAAGUGGCCCAGGAGAACUUCAGCCCAACUUGCCCAACAACCCAAAACGUUCUAAAUCAAAAAGAGCGCCAGUUGGGGCCCAUGAUCCAGACUCCAAACAGAACAGAUGCAGCUGCCCAGUCCAACGUUCCGGAAAUCCCCUCUGCGGUUCUCCAAAAUCAGAUCCUUUUGGGGAAAUCACCUCAUUUCACAUUGAGUUUUUUUAUAAGAUUUCACCAAAAUAAAACUUAUACAAGAAUAAGCUCUUGCUCUCCAAAUUAAAAAUCUACAUUUAAUUGGCGGAAUGAUUGAGACUAAUAUAAUUUGAAUUGUUUUGUCAAUUUAAUUUGACCAUAUUUAUUUAAUUAAAUACAUGGUCUAAUUAAUUUAAUUUGAAAAAAUAAAUUGGUGUGAUUAAGUAAAUUAUUUCUUCAAUUUAAUUUGAUUAUAAAGUAAUAUAUUUUGUAUAAAUUUUUAAAAAUAAAAUUUGGAUUCAACAUAAAUUUUUUAUAAUUUUUUUUCAAUUAAAUUACUAAAUAAAUUAAUACAAUUUGAAUCUCGCACCAACUUUUUUAAGCUACAUAUGAGAUGAUUUUCAGAACUUAGUUAUGGUCUUUCAAACUUCGAACGAGAUAAUGUUCACGAGUCAAUUUUAUUCCUUCAAUUUUCAAACGGAAUGAUGCUCGAAACUUAAGAUUUGAAGAUAAUGUUCACGGGUCAAUUUUAUUCUUUCAAAUUUCAAACGAAAUGAUGCUCGAAACUCAAUUAUGAUAUUUCAAGCUCCACAUGAAAUAAUGCACAAAAAUUUGUCAAGAUUUUUCAAGCUGCAUACAAGAUGAUGUUUAGAAGUUAGUUAUGAUCUUACAAGCUCAAGAUGACAAUGAUCUUUAAAGCUACACACAAGAUAAUUCUUGUAACUUAAUUGUGGUCAUUCAAAGUUCAAAUGAGAUGAUACUCACAAGUUAAAUUUGUUUUUUAAAACUCCAAACAAGAUUAUUCUUGGACCCAAUUAUAAUAUUUGAAACUAAUAAUACAUAAAAGUUUGUGAAAAAAAUUUCAAGUUCCAUACAAAAUGAUGUUUACAAGUUAGUUAUGAUGUUAGAAGCUCCAAAUCAUACAAUCUCACAAGUCAACUUUGAUUUUUAAAGCUCCAGAUAGUUAUGUUAAGAAAACUUGACGCAUAAAAGUUCAUUUUUUUGUAUUUUAAGGUCUAGACGAGAUGAUACUCAAAAGUCUGAUGUUCAAACGUUAGUUGUCGUCUUCCGAAAUUUAGAUUAUGAUAUGAUCCUACAAGAUUCAGACGAGAUGAUGCUCAGAUGAAAUAAAAUUUUCAAUAUCGAUACAUUUUUCAAAAUAUUAUUAAAUAAAAAUCUACAUAAAAAGAAUAUUUAUUAUUCUAACAAAAGGUAAUUAACAUUUAAUUGAGGAAUAUGAUUCAAAUUAAUACAAUUUCAACUAUAUUACCUUAAAUUAAAUAAAUUUAAAAAUAAUUUAUAUAAUAAGUUAAAAUAAUUUCCCGUCGAAAAGUUAUCAUUAAUAUGCGAGGCUAUGCUUCUUUAUUAAUCCAAUUUUACCUUUUCAUACACUUUUUUAGCGGAUGAGAUCUUCUGUCCCACUAUUUUGUGUGUACCACCGUGUACCACUCUUAAUUUAUCUAUUUUAUAAUUGUUUUCUAUAAAAAUAAAAAAUAUUAUUAUAUUAUGAACUCUAAUUAAUAUUUAUCACUAAAAAUUAAAAAUUUUAAAAACUAUAUAUCCUAACUUUGAAUUAAUGAACCCAAAUAAUCAAUUAUUAAUUCAAAUAAAUAUAAAAAAAUAAUUAUAAAUCUUAAUUAGAUGAGCGAAUCCUUGUUAAUUAUCUUUUGUAAUAUUAAAUCAUAAUAAAUUAAAAUUGAAGAAAACAUAAUUAAAAAUUAUAAUAAAUUAAGAGUGGUACAUGGUGGUACAUACAAAAUGGUGCCACAUGGGACUUGAACCCAAAAUUUUGGCUUUAUGCAUUAAGCCCUUACCGCUUGGCCAACACAUGCCCACACUAUUGAUAAUUUUAUACCUCGAGUUUAUCACGAUUUGAUUUACAAAGCAUAUAUAUAUAUAACUGAGAAGCUCAAAUGUGUUGAGAAGUUGAGAAGCAAUGUAAUAGAUGAACAUGUUAGUACAUUUUGAUGAAUAUGGUAAUUAGACCCUAUAUCAAUAAAUUAUUUGAAUAUACCAAAUAUAACUGACGAACAUACGAAUCUAUUUAAUUUGUUAAAAAAUACGUCACCGCCAAUGAUCGAACCCCAGAUCAAACUCGUGUUCAUAAAAACUAAUUGGCAUGUUCAUCUAUUAAAUUGCUUCUCAACUUCUCAACACAUUUGAGCUUCUCAAUAUAACCUAACCCUAUAUAUAUAUAUAUCGGUAUUAGACGUUGCCCGAAAUUUUACAUAUUCAAUGCUGAUGCAUGUUGCACUAAGAAUGAAUCUCUCCAUGCAAUAAUAAUAAUAAUAAUAAUCAAAACAAAUUACUCCAAUAUUUAUUGAAAGAUUAAUCAGCUCCAUUGUUAGUCGCCGCGAUUGCAGAUGGUGGGAAUUAUGAUGAGCGGUUUCUUUCUGCAAACAGUGAUCCCAUCAGUCUCACUCAUAUCCAAACCAUCACAACUCAUUCCAUUUGGCAACUUCCAAUCGAAGUGAUACAGCAAUUUCGCCAACGGCAGCUCAACGUUGGCCAACCCGUAAUUCAAUCCGGGGCAGCUCCGUCGACCCGCCCCGAACGGGAUGUAUUCGAAAUCGCUCCCUACGAAAUCUUUCCGACUGUUCUCGAAUCUCUCCGGCCGGAAUGUUUCGGGGUGGUCCCAGUAUUGUGGGUCCCGCCCCAUCGACCAGAUGUUGAUCAACACUUUGGUUUUGAUCGGAAUCGAAUAUCCUUCAACCUUGCAUUCCUCUCUGGUUUGCCGCGGCACCAAUGGAAUCGGAGGAUGCAGCCUGAGCGUCUCUUUGAUCACUAAUUUCAAGUAUUUCAGCUCCUGAACGUCGCUCUCCUCCACCGCCGUCUUCCCCUUGAACGCCGCCCGCACCUCCGCCUGCGCCUUCUCCAUCACCUCCGGGUUUCUCAUCAUCUCCGCCAUCGCCCACACCGUCGUCGUCGACGACGUCUCCGUUCCAGCGACGAACAUGUCCUGCGAUUAAUUUCAAAUUAGGUCAAAAUUAGAAUCCUAGCUAAUUUAUUAGGAUCGAUCAGGAUUUUUAAACUGUGGAUGUAAAAAAUAAUCUUAUAAACACUGGUGGAGCUAGAAUUUUUUUGAGGGAGUUGAACUUCUACGGCCCCGAAUUUUAAUUGGGGUGCAAAAACUAAAUCUAAAAUAAUUUAUAUAUUAAUAUUAAUACUACUAAAAAAAUUUUUUUUUUUGGGGAUGCAGCUGCACCCCCAUGUUCCUAGCUGCAUCCGCAUCGAUCGAUGUUUCAGAAUUAAAGUAAUGAAUCGACUUACGAAAAUGACAGCUUUGAUGUUGUCUGUAGUGAUGGGGAAUUUGAGCUCUCCGGUCUGCUGCACCCUGAUGAGAACGUCGAUGAUGUCUUCGCCGCCGAACUCGCCGCUCUGCUUGAGCUUGUGCUCGUCGAUGAUGCCGUCGAGAAUGGCGUCGAGCUUGCCGCGCAUCCUCAACAGCCUGUGUCUAUUCCAGCUGAGGGAAUUUAGCAGUUUCCAAGAGGGGAAGAGGUCGGCCAGCUCGAAGCCUCCGGCCAUGGUCUCGGCCUCCUUGAAGAGAGCGAUGAGGCCGUCGCGAUCCGUCACGACCUUCCCGAAGGCCGCCCUGCAGGUGAUGGUGCUGGUGAAGGUGAAGAUCCUGUCCGUCAGAUCAACGGCGUUCCCGGAGGAACAUUCCAGAGACUUGAUCAGGCGGGAGCACUCGUCCCGCCUGAUGUAGCCGAAGGACUUGACGUUCUUGAUGCUGAGGAGCUCGAGGAUGCAGAUCUUGCGCAUCUGCCGCCAGUACUCGUCGUAGGGGGAGAAGGAGAUGUCGGUGUAGUCGUACCACAGGAUCUUCACCGCGAUGCUCUCAGGCCUGUCUGCGCACGCCGGGUCCUGCACUAUCAGCACCUCUCCUUCGCCGCCUCAGGCGACGAGAUCANUGCUUCUCAACUUCUCAACACAUUUGAGCUUCUCAAUAUAACCUAACCCUAUAUAUAUAUAUAUCGGUAUUAGACGUUGCCCGAAAUUUUACAUAUGCAAUGCUGAUGCAUGUUGCACUAAGAAUGAAUCUCUCCAUGCAAUAAUAAUAAUAAUAAUAAUCAAAACAAAUUACUCCAAUAUUUAUUGAAAGAUUAAUCAGCUCCAUUGUUAGUCGCCGCGAUUGCAGAUGGUGGGAAUUAUGAUGAGCGGUUUCUUUCUGCAAACAGUGAUCCCAUCAGUCUCACUCAUAUCCAAACCAUCACAACUCAUUCCAUUUGGCAACUUCCAAUCGAAGUGAUACAGCAAUUUCGCCAACGGCAGCUCAACGUUGGCCAACCCGAAAUUCAAUCCGGGGCAGCUCCGUCUACCCGCCCCGAACGGGAUGUAUUCGAAAUCGUUCCCUACGAAAUCUUUCCGACUGUUCUCGAAUCUCUCAGGCCGGAAUGUUUCGGGGUGGUCCCAGUAUUGUGGGUCCCGCCCCAUCGACCAGAUGUUGAUCAUCACUUUGGUUUUGAUCGGAAUCGAAUAUCCUUCCACCUUGCAUUCCUCUCUGGUUUGCCGCGGCACCAAUGGAAUCGGAGGAUGCAGCCUGAGCGUCUCUUUGAUCACUAAUUUCAAGUAUUUCAACUCCUGAACGUCGCUCUCCUCCACCGCCGUCUUCCCCUUCAACGCCGCCUGCACCUCCGCCUGCGCCUUCUCCAUCACCCGCGGGUUUCUCAUCAUCUCCGCCAUCGCCCACACCGUCGUCGUCGAGGACGUCUCUGUUCCAGCGACGAACAUGUCCUGCCAUCAUUUCAAAUUAGGUCAAAAUUAGAAUCCUAGCUAAUUUAUUAGGAUCGAUCGAUGUUUCAGAAUUAAAGUAAUGAAUCAACUUACGAAAAUGACAGCUUUGAUGUUGUCUGUAGUGAUGGGGAAUUUGAGCUCUCCGGUCUGCUGCAUCCUGAUGAGGACGUCGACGAUGUCUUCGCCGCCGAACUCGCCGCUCUGCUUGAGCUUGUGCUCGUCGAUGAUGCCGUCGAGGAUGGCGUCGAGCUUGCCGCGCAUCCUCCACAGUCUAUACUUGCUCCAGCUGAGGACGUUGAGCAGUUUCCAAGAGGGAAGGAGGUCGGCCAGCUCGAAGCCUCCGGCCAUGGCGACGGCCUCCUUGAAGAGAGCGAUGAGGCCGUCGCGAUCCGUCAUGACCUUCCCGAAGGCCGCCCUGCAGGUGAUGGUGCUGGUGAAGGUGAAGAUCUUGUCCGUCAGAUCAAUGGCGUUCCCGGAGGAACAUUCCAGAGUCUUCAUCAGGCGGGAGGACUCGUCCCGCCUGAUGUGGCCGAAGGACUUGACGUUCUUGGAGCUGAGGAGCUCGACGAUGCAGAUCUUGCGCAUCUGCCGCCAGUACUCGUUGUAGGCGGAGAAGGCGAUGUCGGUGUAGUCGUACCACAGGAUCUUGCUGGCGAUGCUCUCCGGCCUGUCUGCGCACGCCGGGUCCUGCAUUUUCAGCACCUCCCUCGUCGCCUCACGCGACGAGAUCACCACCGCGGGCACCUCCCCCAGCUGCAGAUGCAUCACGGGGCCGUGUUUCUGCGCUUGCCGCUGCAAUGCCUUGUGGGGCAGAUCUCCGACUAGGAGGUGGAUGUGGCCGAUCACCGGCAGCUUCGGCGGGCUCGGGGGCAGGUUUUGGUGGCCUUUGGGGGAUUUAGGUUUGGUCCAUGCCUUGAGCAGGAAGAAGAUGAAGGAUGAAAGGAGUAGGAGAGUAGUGGUGAAGUUGAAGGGAAGAUCCAUCUCCAUUAAUUGUUGAUCAAAUAUUAUACUAUGAUGAUGAGCAGGUGUUUGAUGAAUUGAAUGUAGUGAUUGGUA
rnacentral:lncRNA from 1 species